rnacentral:ncRNA from 1 species
GACUUUACUAUCAGCUUUAGCCCAAUUUAUACAUGCAAGUAUCCGCACCCCUGUGAGAAUGCCCUCAAUCCCCCUCCCGGGGACGAGGAGCAGGCAUCAGGCACUUACACACAGCCCAAGACGCCUUGCUACGCCACACCCCCAAGGGAACUCAGCAGUAAUAAACAUUAAGCCAUAAGUGAAAGCUUGACUUAGUUAACGCUAAGAGGGUCGGUAAAAUUCGUGCCAGCCACCGCGGUUAUACGAAAGACCCCAGUUGAUAGCCACGGCGUAAAGGGUGGUUAAGGUAAACAAUAAAUAAAGUUGAAGAGCCUCUAAGCCGUCGCACGCACUCCGAGAGCUCGAAAUCCAAACACGAAAGUAACUUUAAAACAAAUGCACCUGACCCCACGAAAGCUAAGAAACAAACUGGGAUUAGAUACCCCACUAUGCUUAGCCUUAAACCAAGAUGUAAAUUUACACACACAUCCGCCCGGGUACUACGAGCACAGCUUAAAACCCAAAGGACUUGGCGGUGUCUCAGACCCACCUAGAGGAGCCUGUUCUAGAACCGAUAAACCCCGUUAAACCUCACCACUUCUUGUUUUUCCCGCCUAUAUACCGCCGUCGUCAGCUUACCCCGUGAAGGUUCAAUAGUAAGCAAAAUUGGUACACCCAAAAACGCCAGGUCGAGGUGUAGCGAAUGAAGUGGGAAGAAAUGGGCUACAUUUUCUGCAAACAGAAUACUACGAACGGCACUAUGAAAACAUGCCUGAAGGUGGAUUUAGUAGUAAAAAGCAAAUAGCGUGUCCUUUUGAAUUAGGCUCUGAGACGCGCACACACCGCCCGUCACUCUCCCCUCAUCUCACAAAAAUAAAACAACAAUUACUAAUAAUCUAACCUUUAACACGGGGAGGCAAGUCGUAACAUGGUAAGUGUACCGGAAGGUGCACUUGGAAUAAU